rnacentral:tRNA from 1 species
GGGGAUGUCGGCUAGCUACUUAAGCUAGAAUGGUCUAGGCCUUGCGGCUUGGGCCCGCAGAACCUGGGUUCAAAUCCCAGCAUCCCCA